GUGUUUGCUUCGGCAGCACAUAUACUAAAAUUAGAAUGAUACAGUAAAGAUUAGCAUGGCGCCUGCACAAGGGUGACACGCAAAUUCUUGACACGUUCCAUAUAUUU